GGAAUAUUGGUCAAUGGAGGGAACUCUGAACCAGCCAUGCCGCGUGCAGGAUGACUGCCCUAUGGGUUGUAAACUGCUUUUGUCAGGGAAUAAACCUUUCCACGUGUGGGAAGCUGAAUGUACCUGAAGAAUAAGGAUCGGCUAACUCCGUGCCAGCAGCCGCGGUAAUACGGAGGAUCCAAGCGUUAUCCGGAUUUAUUGGGUUUAAAGGGUGCGUAGGCGGUCCUAUAAGUCAGUGGUGAAAGACGGCAGCUUAACUGUCGCAGUGCCUUUGAUACUGUAGGACUUGAAUCUAUUUGAAGUGGGCGGAAUAAGACAAGUAGCGGUGAAAUGCAUAGAUAUGUCUUAGAACUCCGAUUGCGAAGGCAGCUCACUAAGUUAGUAUUGACACUGAUGCACGAAAGCGUGGGGAUCAAACAGGAUUAGAACCCCUG
rnacentral:rRNA from 1 species